GAUGAACGCUGGCGGCGUGCCUAAUACAUGCAAGUCGAGCGAACAGAUGAGGAGCUUGCUCCUCUGACGUUAGCGGCGGACGGGUGAGUAACACGUGGAUAACCUACCUAUAAGACUGGGAUAACUUCGGGAAACCGGAGCUAAUACCGGAUAAUAUAUUGAACCGCAUGGUUCAAUAGUGAAAGACGGUUUUGCUGUCCCUUAUAGAUGGCUCCGCGCCGCAUUAGCUAGUUGGUAAGGUAACGGCUUACCAAGGCAAGGAUGCGUAGCCGACCUGAGAGGGUGAUCGGCCACACGGGAACUGAGACACGGCCCAGACUCCUACGGGAGGCAGCAGUAGGGAAUCUUGCGCAAGGGGCGAAAGCCGGACGGAGCAACGCCGGGUGAGUGAUGAAGGUCUUCGGAUCGUAAAACUCUGUGAUGAGGGAAGAAGAAAUGUGUAAGUAACUAUGCACGUCUUGACGGUACCUAAUCAGAAAGCCACGGCUAACUACGUG
rnacentral:rRNA from 1 species